rnacentral:rRNA from 1 species
UACGUAGGGUGCGAGCGUUGUCCGGAAUUAUUGGGCGUAAAGAGCUCGUAGGCGGUGUGUCACGUCGGCCGUGAAAACCUGCAGCUUAACUGUGGGCGUGCGGUCGAUACGGGCAUCACUGGAGUUCGGCAGGGGAGACUGGAAUUCCUGGUGUAGCGGUGAAAUGCGCAGAUAUCAGGAGGAACACCGGUGGCGAAGGCGGGUCUCUGGGCCAUAACUGACGCUGAGGAGCGAAAGCGUGGGGAGCGAUCCGG